GUUUAAUUCGACGAUACGCGAGGAACCUUACCUAGGCUAGAAUGUGAGUGAAUGUAUCAGAAAUGGUACAGUCCGCAAGGACACGAAACAAGGUGCUGCAUGGCUGUCGUCAGCUCGUGCCGUGAGAUGUUGGAUUAAGUCCCGCAACGAGCGCAACCCCUGUUGUUAGUUGCCAUCAGGUAAUGCUGGGAACUCUAACAAGACUGCCUACGCAAGUAGAGAGGAAGGAGGGGACGACGUCAAGUCAUCAUGGCCCUUACGCCUAGGGCAACACACGUGCUACAAUGGACGGUACAGCAGGUCGCUAUGUGGUAACACAGUGCCAAUCUACAAAACCGUUCUCAGCUCGGAUUGGGGUCUGCAACUCGACCCUAUGAAGCUGGAAUCGCUAGUAAUCGGGUAUCAGCUAUGAUCCGGUGAAUACGUUCCCGGACAUUGUACACACCGCCCGUCAAGC
rnacentral:rRNA from 1 species